rnacentral:rRNA from 1 species
AGAGUUUGAUCCUGGCUCAGGAUGAACGCUGGCGGCGUGCUUAACACAUGCAAGUCGAACGUGAGGGGGUAGCAAUAUCCUUGAAAGUGGCGCACGGGUGAGUAACACGUAGGUAACCUGCCCUGGAGCGGGGGAUAACAGUUGGAAACGGCUGCUAAUACCGCAUGAGACUGGGAGGCCGGGAGGUCUUCUGGUGAAAAUCUUGGUGCUUCAGGAGGGGCCUGCGGCCGAUUAGCUAGUUGGUGGGGUAAAGGCCUACCAAGGCGACGAUCGGUAGCUGGUCUGAGAGGAUGAUCAGCCACACUGGGACUGAGACACGGCCCAGACUCCUACGGGAGGCAGCAGUGGGGAAUAUUGCGCAAUGGGCGAAAGCCUGACGCAGCAACGCCGCGUGCGGGAUGACGGCCUUCGGGUUGUAAACCGCUUUCAGCAGGGACGAAAAUGACGGUACCUGCAGAAGAAGCCCCGGCUAACUACGUGCCAGCAGCCGCGGUAAUACGUAGGGGGCAAGCGUUAUCCGGAAUCACUGGGCGUAAAGGGCGUCUAGGCGGCAAGGCAAGUCUCGCGUAAAAGCUCCCGGCUCAACUGGGAGAGCGCGCGGGAAACUGCCUGGCUAGAGACUCGGAGAGGGGUGUGGAAUUCCCGGUGGAGUGGUGAAAUGCGUUGAGAUCGGGAGGAACACCAGUAGCGAAGGCGGCACCCUGGCCGAGUUCUGACGCUGAAGCGCGACAGCGUGGGGAGCAAACGGGAUUAGAUACCCCGGUAGUCCACGCCGUAAACGAUGACAACUAGGUGUCGGGCAUCCAAGGAUGUUCGGUGCCGCAGCCAACGCGAUAAGUUGUCCGCCUGGGGAGUACGGCCGCAAGGCUAAAACUCAAAGGAAUUGACGGGGGCCC